UUGGAGAGUUUGAUCCUGGCUCAGGAUGAACGCUGGCGGCGUGCUUAACACAUGCAAGUCGAGCGGUAAGGCCCCUUCGGGGGUACACGAGCGGCGAACGGGUGAGUAACACGUGAGUAACCUGCCCUUGACUUUGGGAUAACUUCAGGAAACUGGGGCUAAUACCGGAUAGGAGCUCCUGCUGCAUGGUGGGGGUUGGAAAGUUUCGGCGGUUGGGGAUGGACUCGCGGCUUAUCAGCUUGUUGGUGGGGUAGUGGCUUACCAAGGCUUUGACGGGUAGCCGGCCUGAGAGGGUGACCGGCCACAUUGGGACUGAGAUACGGCCCAGACUCCUACGGGAGGCAGCAGCGGGG
rnacentral:rRNA from 1 species